AACGAACGCUGGCGGCAGGCCUAACACAUGCAAGUCGAACGCCGUAGCAGUACGGAGUGGCAGACGGGUGAGUAACACGUGGGAACGUACCCUUCGGUUCGGAAUAACUCAGGGAAACUUGAGCUAAUACCGGAUACGUCCGAGAGGAGAAAGAUUUAUCGCCGAGGGAUCGGCCCGCGUCUGAUUAGCUUGUUGGUGAGGUAACGGCUCACCAAGGCGACGAUCAGUAGCUGGCUGAGAGGAUGAUCAGCCA
rnacentral:rRNA from 1 species